UUCAGCUAUUUAUCUCAAGUAAAUCAGAAGUAUCCUUACGGUGACAAGAGUUUUUUGUGUGCGCCCAGAACUCCGGCAGCAGAGCCCUUUCCUCUCCUGGUAAAGGGAGAGAAAAGAACAGGGCAAGCCGGCGCAACCUGGGACGCCUGAAUGGGGGUUUGUUCACUGGGGUUUAGCGCUUUUGCCACUGGGGCGCAAGUGCAUAUCCUGUAAUGAUCCCUCCGCUGGUUCACCAACGGAGA
rnacentral:misc_RNA from 1 species